UACGGGGGGGGCAAGCGUUGUUCGGAAUUACUGGGCGUAAAGGGCUCGUAGGCGGCCAACUAAGUCAGACGUGAAAUCCCUCGGCUUAACCGGGGAACUGCGUCUGAUACUGGGUGGCUUGAGUUUGGGAGAGGGAUGCGGAAUUCCAGGUGUAGCGGUGAAAUGCGUAGAUAUCUGGAGGAACACCGGUGGCGAAGGCGGCAUCCUGGACCAACACUGACGCUGAGUGAGCGAAAGCCAGGGGAGCAAGCGGG
rnacentral:rRNA from 1 species